AGUACAAGCAACACACGGCGAACCUGCGAAUGGGCUCAUUAUAUAAGUUAUCCGUUUAUUUGAUAGCACCUUACUACUUGGAUAACCGUGGUAAUUCUAGAGCUAAUACAUGCUGAAAAUCCCGACUUCGGAAGGGAUGUAUUUAUUAGAUUAAAAACCAAUGCCCUCUGGGCUCUCUGGUGAUUCAUGAUAACUUCUCGAAUCGCAUGGCCUUGCGCCGGCGAUGGUUCAUUCAAAUUUCUUCCCUAUCAACUUUCGAUGUUUGGGUAGUGGCCAAACAUGGUGGCAACGGGUAACGGAGGGUUAGGGCUCGGCCCCGGAGAAGGAGCCUGAGAAACGGCUACUACAUCCAAGGAAGGCAGCAGGCGCGCAAAUUACCCAAUCCCGACGCGGGGAGGUAGUGACAAUAAAUACUGAUACAGGGCUCUUUUGGGUCUUGUAAUUGGAAUGAGUACAAUUUAAAUCCCUUAACGAGGAAGAAUUGAAGGGCUGGUCUGGUGCCCGGCAGCC
rnacentral:rRNA from 1 species